rnacentral:rRNA from 1 species
GAGGAUGGCGGACGGGUGAGUAACGCGUAAGGAACUUGCCUCUUGGUCUGGGACAACUGUUGGAAACGACAGCUAAUACCGGAUAUUAUGAGAUUCUCGCAUGGGAAACUUAUGAAAGCUAUAUGCGCCAAGAGAGAGCCUUGCGUUCCAUUAGCUAGUUGGUGGGGUAACGGCCCACCAAGGCGACGAUGGAUAGCCGGCCUGAGAGGGUGAACGGCCACAAGGGGACUGAGACACGGCCCUUACUCCUACGGGAGGCAGCAGUGGGGAAUAUUGGACAAUGGGCCACAAGCCUGAUCCAGCAAUUCUGUGUGCACGAUGAAGGUCUUCGGAUUGUAAAGUGCUUUCAGUUGGGAAGAAGAAAGUGACGGUACCAACAGAAGAAGCGACGGCUAAAUACGUGCCAGCAGCCGCGGUAAUACGUAUGUCGCAAGCGUUAUCCGGAUUUAUUGGGCGUAAAGCGCGUCUAGGCGGAAAAAUAAGUCUGAUGUUAAAAUGCGGGGCUCAACUCCGUAUUGCGUUGGAAACUGUUUUUCUAGAGUACUGGAGAGGUGGGCGGAACUACAAGUGUAGAGGUGAAUUCGUAGAUAUUUGUAGGAAUGCCGAUGGAGAAGUCAGCUCACUGGACAGAUACUGACGCUAAAGCGCGAAAGCGUGGGGAGCAAAC